UAUUAAUUAAUUUAUAUUUUGAUAUUUUAUAUUUAAAAUUAAUAAAUCUAAUAAAUCUUAUUAAUCCGAGGAAUCCGCCUAGCGGCGCCUAAUUCCCGCCUAGGCGGCCUAGGCGCUAGGCGCUGGUCUAGCGCCCGAUUAGCGCUUAGCGAAUUUUAGAACCUUGUAUACAAAUUACUUAUAAAAGGCUGAUUUCAACUCUUUUGAUGGGAUCCCCAAUAUGGAGUCGCCCUAGGGUUCCAAGGCAAACUGAGAAGCUGUUCUGAAGAGGAUUCGACGCCAUCUAGGCGUGGAAGGGGGAUCAGUAGCAUUCGUAGAAGAAAUUUCGCAUCGAACCUAAACUCUUCUUCUCUAUAUUUUAAUUUUUGAAUUUCUGAUUUCUGAGCUAUAUCUGAAUUUGUCACCGUCUGAUCAUGAUUUGUGGUUGUAAUUCCAUUUGUAUGGAGUAGAUUCUUAGGACUAGGGAUUAACCCUUUGUUAUGUGAACAUUUCUGAUUUGAUCUAUGAAUGAAUUUUUGUUCUUAUUCAAUAAUGUAUUGAUUUGUGGUCCGGAUUUACUGUGUAAACACGAUCUUGCUUGUUGCUAAAAGUAAGAGAUUCAUAUUUUACGAGGAUUUGGGGAUGAACUAAAAGGAGAACCUAAUUCUUCGACCCGUAGAAAACCGAGACAUGGAGAGUCGAUUACAAAAGUAGAUCGGUAUUCCGCGAGUAGUAAUGAACUAUCAUUGAUCUUAAUGGAUCAAUUCCAAUUCAACACCACAAAAGUAGAAGGGUUAAUUGGGGUUUAUGGGAUCUCGUGACAGGGUCUCCUUGGAAAGCGAACCCUAGUUUAACCGCUCUGAAAGUAGACGAUGAAUUGGGAUUGAUAUGCUGAUGUAGUUUUAAAAGUUUACAUUGGAUACAUAGGAUAGUCUACCUAAAUAAAUCAACAUUGAGGAUAGGAAACCAAACGUAUAUCAAAUGUUUGUUAACAUUAUGGUGAAACCGAAAUCCUAGAAUUGCUUUCAUCCACUGAAUUUUCUAUGGUAUUUCUGUCUUCUCUCUUUGAUCACCUUCUUUCUGUGAUCUUUCUGCCUUCUGAUUUUGAUCACUUUGUCUUCCUUCUGUGAUCACUCUACCUUCUUUUUAUGAUUUCUCUGCUUCUCACCUUGAUCAUUUUGCUUUCCUUCUGUGAUCUUACUGCCUUCUCUUUGAUUUCUCUUUGUCUAAUUGAUCAAAUCUAUUUUCUUAUUUUGUUCUUACCGUUCCAUUGAGUUUUCUAGUUCUUGACACCCAAAACCUGAGAUUAGUCUAGACAGUUAAAUCUGCUUGGUAAGCUAGUACUCAACUACCAGUCCUUGUGGUUUGAUAUCUUUUUAUUAUUUGACAAUAUUUCUGUGUACUUGUGGAUUUGCACACAUCAAUGGUUCAAGAUCAGUUGACCGCUAGUGAUAGGUUUGUGAUAGUCUGACAGAAAGUUUUGUAGUUGACUAACACAAUCAAUUGGAGUCCACAUACGAAGCACAAAAUGUUCAAGAAUCGACUGAGGUAGUCGAUUGGAUACAUAGUAGGCGACUGAUGAAUGAAAGAGGGGUAUAAUGGGAAUUAUGUAUGUGUUUUGGUAAAUAUGAAACUUGGGUACGUAGUUUGAGUAUCAGGGAAAGUUGGCUACAUGGUUCAGUAAAUUGCCAUUUUUUUAUUUUGUUUCGUUGGUUUGUCCACACGGAUCACUUUUUGUCCUUUUAUUGUCACUUUAUGACUAUCAGAUUGCAAGAGAGGUUUAAGAUGCCUUUGCUUGUAUAAUUCGACCUGGAAUUACAACAGAUGAAAUUGAUGACGUAGUUCAUCAGGCAACAAUUGCUGCUGGUAGUGUCUCUUUUUGCAUGAAAUGAACAGAUGGUUUAGGUUCACUACUUCAUUGUAUUAUUAGCAAAUUGUUCAAUAUUGUUUCAGGAAUUCUUAGGCAUGGUCUUAUUGAUUAGCUUUCCUUUUGUUCCAUGCAUAUUCACUUAUUGCCAAGUGUAUGCACCUAUUCUGUGCACAUAUGAGUGCCCAUAUUUGGAAGGAAGCAAAGCAGGACAAAUCAAGACAAUUGAUUUCUUAUUGUACUGUAAAUUUAAGAUAGUGUUACUUUACAAGCUAAGUCUAUGAAGUCAAACCCAAUGAUUACGUUUUCUGUUAUUGUCUCUCAUGUCAUUCCCCAAAUAUAUGAUUGAAGAGUUGUUUUAUAAGUCCAAUUGUUGAUUCCCAUCUAGGUUGCUGCAUCUGUGACAUUUAUGCAAAUUGAGGUCACAUUGAAUUCUUGUAAUUGUUGUGUAUUCUAGUUAUUCACUUAAUCCUAUAAAUUCUUCUUAAUCCUAUAAAUUCUUUAUGCUUCUUGCUCGCAAAGGUAUACUUGCUCAAUUAUGUUUAAAAUGGUAUUAAUAUAACAUGGUUUUUAACUCCUUUUAUUCUUUUCUAGGAGGGUAUCCGACUAUCCGUCCCCAUUGAAUUAUCAUUUUUUUCCCAAAAUCUUUCUGCACGUAGGUUGUUUUUCCAAUACACCGUAUAUCAGUAUGUUUCUAAAAUGUCUUUGUUGAACUGUAACAUUUUGAAAAUGAUCUGUUAAUGAAGUCAUCUGCCAUGGGUGCAAUCUUCUGACAAUUGUUUCACUUAAUCAUUUGAUUUCCACAUGUAGCUUUGUUUAACUUCUUCAUGAGAUGAAUCUUAUAAAACAUCUAUCAUUUAUUUUCUAUAGUUCAAGAAAUUCUUGAAACAUUUGAUGUGGGACUAACUUAUAAUUUAUUAAUAUCCACAAGCUAGAUUAUAUAAUGUAGCGCUUCCUUCAGUGAUGAUGCAAUGGCAAGAUGAUUUGCAUGCUGAAAUAUGCACGGAUAUUUGUUUGCAUUGUUGUCUCUCAAUGAUGACCUUUUCUAUUUUCUUAUUUAUUUUUGUCGCUUGGUGUUUAAAGUAAUAGUUUCAGUAGUUAAAAUAUAAUUGUCAGGAAAUACAAGACAUAGGCUUUAAAGCCAAAAUAAGAUGCCCUUGGUGGUUUGAUCUGUCCUGUAGUAGAACAACCAGCAUAACAUACCAGAGUCCUAACACACUGCAAAAACAGAAAAGAUACAGAAACACACAAGUACUUAUAUAGAAACCUCAAGAUGGGAGAGAAAACCACUAGCGAGGAUGAAGAAAAAGAUCAGAUGUACAGAAGUUACAUACAUUAUGAGCAUACAAUGCAGAACACAAAGGCCUCACUGUUACCUUAUAGAUCAUAUUGAUAUCUGGAUGUACCACUCUACUUUUUGUUCCAUUCAGGCUAGAUGCUGCAGAAAACACAAUUGCACUACCUCAAAUUAUAAAGGGCAAUUGCGUCAAACAUCACAUGAGUUGAGCAGAGGCACUGUAUAUUUUGUUAGCAUAAAAUCCAUGUUGAUAUGCUUUGAUCUCCUCGAUCUUAGGGUUCUCAAGUCAGCAAACUAGAUUAAGUAUCCAACUGUAUCAGUUCAAUCCAAAUCUGACAUGCUAGAUCCAAAUGGUUGGUUCCUGGCAGGUAUGCUCCUAAAUCCUUUUAUCCAUAGCUUGGCAUAGAUUUUGGCUCAGCAUUUCUAAUCAUUGUGGCAUUUAAAUAUAUAAUCGUAGGGCAGAUUUGAAUCACACUUAACAAUAGUCCUCUUUUAGAUGAGUAAUUUGAUGAAUGCCACACCUGUUAGGUGAGACUAGGAAUAUUGGACUGUGUCAAGCAUUUGAUUUGGAAAUUCUCUGAGCUCAGUUGUUUGAUCUUUGUUACUAAGGGUGGUUCUUAUUGACUCCUAAAUUUGAUGCAAGUAACACUGAUGUUUAGAUAGAGAUUACAUUCUUCCAAGAUGAGUUGAUUGGAGAAUGUGUAAUCCAGUAAUGUUUGUUCGCUUUACUACGUCCUAAAGAGAAAGGCCUUUUUUUUGGUGCAUGAAGUGGUGUAUAUAUUUUUUUAUCUCAUACAAUUUGAACCACACAUGAUUCUCAGUUGUCAUUCUACAGGAGUCUCGAGGAUGGUGACAUUGUCAAUGUUGAUGUAAGUGUAUAUUAAAAAGGUGUCCAUGGUGAUCUAAGUAAGACUUUCUUGUUGGAGAAGUGGAUGAAGCUUCUCGGUAUCUUGUCCGCUGCACCUAUGAAUGUUUGGAGAAAGCCAUUUCUAUAGUUAAACCUGGCAUUCAUUUCCGUGAUGUUGAAGUUAUUAAUCGUCAUGCAACAAUGUCUGGGCUAGCAGUGGUGAAAUCAUAUUGUGGACAUGGUAUUAGAAGUUGUUUCAGUGUGCUCCGAGUAUUCCUCAUUAUGGGAAAAACAAGGCUGUUGGUAUCAUGAAAGCUGGGUAGACAUUUACAAUUGAAUCUAUGAUCAAUGCAGGCCAUUUUUUUGGAUUUGAUUAGUAUUUCUGUCUUUAUAGUCACCAUUUAUUUAUAUUGUUCAAGCGUUUUUAUCUUGAGGAAUCUGGCGUGAUCGGUUAUGGCCAGAUGGAUGGACUGCUCUUUGACUGGCAUAAAUCUAACCUUGGAUGCUGCUC